rnacentral:tRNA from 10 species
AGAAAGUUAGUCUAACAAAGACAGUUGAUUUCGACUCAACAGAUUAUAGCCCAAACCCUAUAACUUUCUU